GAUUUCUGGUGAAGCGCGCUUGGUCCGCCGCGGUUACGCGUGUGAGUGCCGAUGUGCGCUUGCCAUCCUUCUCGGUAACGGCUCUACCCCUCACGGGGCCGGAGUUCGGGACGAGAUCUUUUACUUUGAAAAAAUUAGAGUGUUUAAAGCAGGCUUGUGCUCUGAAUACAUUAGCAUGGAAUAAUAAUUUAGGACUUUUGUCUUAUUUUGUUGGUUUCUAGGACGAAACGUAAUGAUUGAUAGGGAUAGUUGGGGGUGCUAGUAUUCAGGGGCCAGAGGUGAAAUUCUUGGAUUCCCUGAAGACUAACUUAUGCGAAAGCAUU
rnacentral:rRNA from 3 species